GACGAACGCUGGCGGCGUGCUUAACACAUGCAAGUCGAACGAACAGGCCCUGCUCUUGCUGGGUGCUCGUGAGGCGAAGGGGUGAGUAACACAUGAGUAACCUGCCCCUGUCUUUCGGAUAACUUCAGGGAACAGGGGAGAAUACCGGAGAGGAGCUCCUGCUGCAUGGGGGUGGUUGGAAAGUUUCGGCGGUUGGGGAUGGAAUCGCGGCUUAUCAGCUUGUUGGUGAGGUAGUGGCUUACAAAGGUUUUGACGGGUAGCCUGCCUGAGAGCGUGACCAGCCACAUUGGGACUGAGAUACGGCCCAGACGCCAACGUGAGGCAGCGGGGGGGAGUAUUGCGCAAUGGGGGGGCGCGUGAUGCGGCAACGCCGCGUUCGGGAUGACGUCCUUCGGGUGGUGAACCGCUUUCGCCGGUGACGUAGAGUGCGUGACGGUACUGGGUAAGGAAGCACCGGCUAACUACGUG
rnacentral:rRNA from 1 species